GAUGAACGCUGGCGGCGUGCCUAAUACAUGCAAGUCGAGCGAACAGACGAGGAGCUUGCUCCUCUGACGUUAGCGGCGGACGGGUGAGUAACACGUGGAUAACCUACCUAUAAGACUGGGAUAACUUCGGGAAACCGGAGCUAAUACCGGAUAAUAUAUUGAACCGCAUGGUUCAAUAGUGAAAGACGGUUUUGCUGUCACUUAUAGAUGGAUCCGCGCCGCAUUAGCUAGUUGGUAAGGUAACGGCUUACCAAGGCAACGAUGCGUAGCCGACCUGAGAGGGUGAUCGGCCGCACUGGAACUGAGACGCGGUCCAGACUCCUACGGGAGGCAGCAGUAGGGAAUCUUCCGCAAUGGGCGAAAGCCUGACGGAGCAACGCCGCGUGAGUGAUGAAGGUCUUCGGAUCGUAAAACUCUGUUAUUAGGGAAGAACAAAUGUGUAAGUAACUAUGCACGUCUUGACGGUACCUAAUCAGAAAGCCACGGCUAACUACGUG
rnacentral:rRNA from 1 species